AUUGAACGCUGGCGGCAUGCCUUACACAUGCAAGUCGAACGGCAGCACGGGAGCAAUCCUGGUGGCGAGUGGCGAACGGGUGAGUAAUAUAUCGGAACGUGCCCAGUCGUGGGGAUAACGUAGCGAAAGCUACGCUAAUACCGCAUACGAUCUAUGGAUGAAAGCGGGGGAUCGCAAGACCUCGCGCGAUUGGAGCGGCCGAUAUCAGAUUAGGUAGUUGGUGAGGUAAAGGCUCACCAAGCCGACGAUCUGUAGCUGGUCUGAGAGGACGACCAGCCACACUGGGACUGAGACACGGUCCAGACUCCUACGGGAGGCAGCAGUGGGGAAUAUUGGACAAUGGGCGAAAGCCUGAUCCAGCCAUGCCGCGUGUGUGAAGAAGGUCUUCGGAUUGUAAAGCACUUUAAGUUGGGAGGAAGGGUAGUAACCUAAUACGUUGCUACUUUGACGUUACCGACAGAAUAAGCACCGGCUAACUUACGUGCCAG
rnacentral:rRNA from 1 species